rnacentral:rRNA from 1 species
CCAGAGAACUUUCCAGAGAUGGAUUGGUGCCUUCGGAACUCUGAGACAGGUGCUGCAUGGCUGUCGUCAGCUCGUGUUGUGAAAUGUUGGGUUAAGUCCCGCAACGAGCGCAACCCUUAUCCUUUGUUGCCAGCGGUUAGGCCGGGAACUCAAAGGAGACUGCCAGUGAUAAACUGGAGGAAGGUGGGGAUGACGUCAAGUCAUCAUGGCCCUUACGAGUAGGGCUACACACGUGCUACAAUGGCGCAUACAAAGAGAAGCGACCUCGCGAGAGCAAGCGGACCUCAUAAAGUGCGUCGUAGUCCGGAUUGGAGUCUGCAACUCGACUCCAUGAAGUCGGAAUCGCUAGUAAUCGUGGAUCAGAAUGCCACGGUGAAUACGUUCCCGGGCCUUGUACACACCGCCCGUCACACCAUGGGAGUGGGUUGCAAAAGAAGUAGGUAGCUUAACCUUCGGGAGGGCGCUUACCACUUUGUGAUUCAUGACUGGGGUGAAGUCGUAACAAGGUAGGCGUAGAUGA